rnacentral:rRNA from 1 species
CACGUAGGGUGCGAGCGUUGUCCGGAAUUACUGGGCGUAAAGGGCGCGUAGGCGGUUUGCUAAGUUGGAUGUGAAAACUCUGGGCUUAACCCAGAGCCUGCAUCCAAAACUGGCAAACUUGAGUACUGGAGGGGAAAGCGGAAUUCCUGGUGUAGCGGUGAAAUGCGUAGAUAUCAGGAGGAACACCGGUGGCGAAGGCGGCGACCUGGUUCGAUACUGACACUGAGGUGCGAAAGCGUGGGGAGCAAACAGG